AUAUAUAAAGGAGCAACGACUGUACACAUGAAAUCACAAUUCCUUUAAGAAGGAUCGACUUCAUAAAUAUACUCUAUCCAGUAUCCAUCAAGUGCAUUUCUCGUCUAACUGAAGGAGAAUCAUGAAGACCAUUUUCAUCCUCUUCCUGGCCCUGUUCGCAAUAAGUUGUGCCUCAAGCUGUCGCAUAUGUGAAGUAAAACUGUUACUAGUAAAAGUUCGUCCGAGUUGUUGCCGUUCGAGGACUGAAAAUCACAUCAGCAGUGUUCUUGUCUGCUUUCCAUGCUGCGCAAAAAACUCGCUUGGCAAGCGAUCACUGGAUUCAGCGAACAACCUCGAAGUUGGCUUCCCUUGCAAAUUCAACUACUAUGACGCGAAUGAAGACGGUAAGAUAGACCCGAAUGAAUUCGCAGCCGCAACAAAUCUGGAAGCGACUUCAAAAGACGUGCAGAAAACAUUCGAGUCGGCUAACAAAAACAACAGCAGCGAUGGAAUUGAUUGUGAAGAGUUUAAAGAAGCACCGUUUGACUUCAAGUGUGCGCCAACAUGCGAGUGAAAAGCCUGCGUGGAUUCUUCUGGACAUUUUUAAGAAUUUGAUAAACUUUUUGAUUAUAAUUAGGAAACGCAAUGCUUGCAUGUUAUCAUUAGUUUAGAUUCACUGAUAGAAAAGAUUGUUAACGAUUGACCAUGAAAAUGUAAUUUUUCCAUAUUAAAUUUCAAUUUAAAGUUUA